rnacentral:rRNA from 1 species
UACGUAGGGGGCAAGCGUUAUCCGGAAUUACUGGGUGUAAAGGGAGCGUAGACGGUUAAGUAAGUCUGGAGUGAAAGGCGGGGGCCCAACCCCUGGACUGCUCUGGAAACUAUUGAACUAGAGUGCAGGAGGGGUGGGCGGAAUUCCUAGUGUAGCGGUGAAAUGCGUAGAUAUUAGGAGGAACACCAGUUGCGAAGGCGGCUCUCUGGACUGUAACUGACGCUGAGGCGCGAAAGCGUGGGGAGCAA